GGCCUUAGUCUUGGUCUCCUGAGCCUUGGAGCACCACAUGAGGCCCAACAAUAGUAACACUUUUCCAUGCCACAUGGAGCUCUGCAAGUGGCACCGAAGGAGCUUUGGCCUUUCUCGAGGCUGCAAACAAUACAUUACCAUGAUAGUCUCUAAUAAUAUAGUCAAUACUUACUUCAGCAUUUGUCCAAACAGCAUCAAAAUUUACCUUCACUACACCACA
rnacentral:lncRNA from 1 species